rnacentral:rRNA from 1 species
GUGGGGAAUAUUGGACAAUGGGCGAAAGCCUGAUCCAGCCAUGCCGCGUGUGUGAAGAAGGUCUUCGGAUUGUAAAGCACUUUAAGUUGGGAGGAAGGGCAGUAAGUUAAUACCUUGCUGUUUUGACGUUACCGACAGAAUAAGCACCGGCUAACUUCGUGCCAGCAGCCGCGGUAAUACGAAGGGUGCAAGCGUUAAUCGGAAUUACUGGGCGUAAAGCGCGCGUAGGUGGUUUUGUAAGUUGGAGGUGAAAUCCCCGGGGUCAACCUGGGAACUGCCUCCAAAACUGCAUGACUAGAGUACGGUAGAGGGUAGUGGAAUUUCCUGUGUAGCGGUGAAAUGCGUAGAUAUAGGAAGGAACACCAGUGGCGAAGGCGACUACCUGGACUGAUACUGACACUGAGGUGCGAAAGCGUGGGGAGCAAACAGGAUUAGAUAACCCUGUAGUCC